CCUGGUUGAUCUUGCCAGUAGUCAUAUGCUUGUCUGAAAGAAUAAGCCAUGCAUGUGUAAAUAUGAACUAAUUUAGACUAUGAAACUAUGAAUGGGUCAUUAAAUUUAGUUAUAAUUUGUUUGAUGGUACCUACUACUUAGAUAACCAUAGUAAUUAUAAAGCUAAUACAUGCAACAAACCCCAACUUCUGGAAGGAAUGCAUUUAUUACAUAAAAGGUUGAUACAGGCUUUGCCUGUUGCUCUGAUGAUUUAUGAUAACUUAAUGGAUUGCACUGCCUUUGAGCCAGUGACACAUCAUUCAAAUUUUUCCUUAUCAACUUUUGAUGGUAAGAUAGUGGCCUACUAUGGUGGCGAUGGAUGAUGGAGAACUAGGGUUCAAUUCCAAAGAGGAAGCCUAAGAAAUGACUACCACAUCCAAGAAAGGCAAUAGGCAUGCAAAUUACCCAAUCCUAACACUGGAAGGUAGUGACAAUAAAUAACAAUACUGGGCUUUAUGAGUUUGGUAAUUAGAAUGAGUAAAAUAUAAAUCCCUUAUUAAGGAUCCACUGGAAGGCAAGUUUGGUGCUAGUAGCCAUGACAAUUCUAGUUUCAAUAGCAUAUAUUUAAGUUGUUAUAGUUCAAAAACUCAUAGUUGGAACUAGGGUUGGGUUAUCCAGUCCACUUCAUGGUGAGCACUUGUUUACUAGUCCUUACUACUUGUGAUGUGCUUCUGGCCUUAUCUGGAUAGGUCGUUGCUCUGGCCCUGUUACUUUGAAAAAAUUUGAGAGCUCAAAGCAGGCCUACACUUGUAUAUAAUAGCAUGGGAUAACAUCUUAAGAUUUUGGUCUUAUUGUGUUGGCCUUCAAGAUUGGAGCAAUGAUUAAUAGAAAUAAUGAACAACUACAAAAGUGAAAUUUGUGUUUAUGUUUCAUAGUCAGAGGUAAAAUUUUUGGAUUUAUGAAAAGUGAACAACUAAAAAAGCAUUUGCCAAUGAUGUUUUCAUUAAUCAAGACAAAAGUUAAGGGCUUGAAGAUGAUCAGAUGCCGUCUUAGUCUUAAAAAUAAAUGACGUUGAUCAGGGAUCGAUGGAUGUUACUUUUAGGACUCCACUGGCUCCUUAUGAGAAAUCAAAGUCAUUGGGUUCUAAAGGGAGUAUGGUUGCAAGGCUGAAACUUACAGGAAUUGACAGAAGGGCACCACUAAGAGUGAAGCUUGUGGCUUAAUUUGACUCAACAUAAGGAAACUUUCCAGGUCCAGAUAUGAUAAGGAUUGAUAGAUUGAGAGCUUUUUCUUGAUUCUAUGGGUGGUAAUGCAUGGCCAUUCUUAGUUGGUGGAGUGAUUUGUCUGGUUAAUUCCAUUAACAAAUGAGACUUUAGCUUACUACUAGCUACGUAGAGGUGAUCUUUCGUGGCUAACUUUUGGAGGGACUAUAGCUAUUUAGGCCAAGGAAGUUUAAGGCGAUAACAGGUCUGUGAUGCCGUUAGAUGUUCUAGGCCGCAUGUAUUUUACACUGAUGUAUUCAAUAAGUCUACAACAUUUGCAAACAAGCUCAGGUAAUCUUUGAAAUUUGAUCAUGAUAAAGAUUGAUCAUUGUAAUUGUUGGUCUUCAAUAAAGAAUUCCUAGUAAUUGCCAAUCAUCAGCUUGCUUUGACUACAUUCUUUCCCUUUGUACACUAUGGUUUUUAUUAAUUGAAUUGUCCAGUGAAGUAUUCGGAUCAUGGCAAUGUGGAUGGUUUACUGCCUGUGACAUCACAAGGAGUCCACUAAACCUUAUCAUUUAGAGGAAUGAGAAGUCGUAACAAGGUUUCUGUACCUGAACUUGUAGAAG
rnacentral:rRNA from 1 species